rnacentral:tRNA from 1 species
AAAAUCCGUCGACUUUAGAAAUCGUGAGGGUUCAAGUCCUUCCUACCCCCAAUCAAGUCCCUCUAUCCCCA